UAGCUCAACCAGUAGAGCAUGAGACUCUUAAUUUUAGGGUCGUGGGUUUGUGUCCCAC
rnacentral:tRNA from 1 species